rnacentral:rRNA from 1 species
GGGGAAUAUUGGACAAUGGGCGGAAGCCUGAUCCAGCAACGCCGCGUGAGGGAUGACGGCCUUCGGGUUGUAAACCUCUUUCAGUACCGACGAAGCGAAAGUGACGGUAGGUACAGAAGAAGGACCGGCCAACUACGUGCCAGCAGCCGCGGUAAUACGUAGGGUCCGAGCGUUGUCCGGAAUUAUUGGGCGUAAAGGGCUCGUAGGCGGUUUGUCGCGUCGGGAGUGAAAACAGCGGGCUUAACUCGUUGCUUGCUUUCGAUACGGGCAGACUAGAGGUAUGCAGGGGAGAAUGGAAUUCCUGGUGUAGCGGUGAAAUGCGCAGAUAUCAGGAGGAACACCGGUGGCGAAGGCGGUUCUCUGGGCAUUACCUGACGCUGAGGAGCGAAAGUGUGGGGAGCGAAC